rnacentral:rRNA from 1 species
AACGAACGCUGGCGGCAGGCUUAACACAUGCAAGUCGAGCGCCCCGCAAGGGGAGCGGCAGACGGGUGAGUAACGCGUGGGAAUCUACCCAUCUCUACGGAAUAACGCAUGGAAACGUGUGCUAAUACCGUAUAUGUCCUUCGGGAGAAAGAUUUAUCGGAGAUGGAUGAGCCCGCGUUGGAUUAGCUAGUUGGUGGGGUAAAGGCCUACCAAGGCGACGAUCCAUAGCUGGUCUGAGAGGAUGAUCAGCCACACUGGGACUGAGACACGGCCCAGACUCCUACGGGAUGCAGCAGUGGGGAAUAUUGGACAAUGGGCGCAAGCCUGAUCCAGCCAUGCCGCGUGAGUGAUGAAGGCCCUAGGGUUGUAAAGCUCUUUCACCGGUGAAGGUAAUGACGGUAACCGGAGAAGAAGCCCCGGCUAACUUCGUGCCAGCCGCCGCGGUAAGAC